GGCAGAAGGCUCAGUUGAUAGAGCUUGAGAUUUGUAAUCUCAGGGUUAUGAGUUCAAGCCCCACGUUGGGCUA